AUCUGUUACAAAAUACUAGUGUCAGAAGUUCAGUUAUUCAGUAUUCGAAACAAUCACCCAAAGGCAGAUAUACCGACAUAAUUGAAAAUGAAAAAUCCACUAUAUUUCCUUUUCUGGCUAAUUGUCUUGCUCUGGCUGUCGCUCUUUGUUGCCUUUAUCGGGGCCUUCUUCUAUAUCUGGACUUAUAUGUUCUCUCAAUGCAGUGACUGCUGCGAAGGUAUUGCUACAUUUUUCCUGAAGUGCGUUCAGUUUCCCGGAUACUGUGCUGCAGGUAUGAUGGGAUGCAAGAAACCGUGCUAGAAACCGACGAAGAUGGCAAGGGAUGGCACCCGCCACCCUUUAUGCAGCACAGUGUCCACACUAACCAUUUACCACUGCACCAUAUAUGUACAUAUUGUUUUUAUGCAGCUUCCUUAUUUUACUAUCGAUACUCCCAGAAAAUCUUCCUCUGCGUCUGAACAUCCUUCAACUACAAAAACAACCUCCGACAUCUCAAACAGAUUACUUCAGACUAGAAGAUUGAGAGAGAGAGAGACUGAAGACUGAGACUAGAAGAUUCAGAUUGACUAGAAAAUCGGUGUAGUACGGCUUGGGCCGCUUGUUGGGCAGAUAACAAGUUAUUAAUUGAUACAUUAUUACAAGUUUUGAAUAAUAAAUAAAAUAAUAAAUCUUUCGUC